ACCCUAUUCAUUUGACCGCUUAUAUCCUUUAAUCUCUCCUCCUGUUUCAUUGGCGUCCAGCUGUUGCGGCGGCGGCGGCUCGUACGGAUGGGGGCCGACAUCGGCCUGAAACUUGAUAGGCACGUAUGGCUCAUCUUCUCACCGGCUAAUGGCGGCGACAUGAUUGAUCUGGUAGCCGGAAUCGGACGACCAUCGCCUACCAUGGUGCCAGUGAAGAGCAACAUGAGAACAGCGGAACCAGUUCUUUCCUGUUGAUAUUGAAGCCUGCUACUAAUUCUCCAACCACAAGCAGCUGGCUUUGGAGUCCACCCGUCGCAUGCUAGGUCACGAAGCACCACAGAUCUGGGAGAAAGAGAUCUUUCAACUCUGAAAACUGAUAUCUUUGUUGAUCACGUGGAUAAUUUGAUCAAGAUGCUAUCACAAUAUGGUCAACUGAACCAGCAGCUAAACUAUGGACGGUCAAAGAGAAAAUCACUUCUCUCUAAAAAAGAGAGAACAUACUCAGAUUCGUAGUUGUAUAUUUUCCUCCGUUACCAUGUGUGUAGUCAAACUGAAUGUACUAUUAUCUUCAAACGAAGGAUAUGUAAUACCUGUGUGUUGAGCCUUUUUUUC